rnacentral:rRNA from 1 species
UACGAAGGGUACAAGCGUUAAUCGGAAUUACUGGGCGUAAAGCGUGCGCAGGCGGCUUUGCAAGACAGAUGUGAAAUCCCCGGGCUCAACCUGGGAACUGCAUUUGUGACUGCAAAGCUGGAGUGCGGCAGAGGGGGAUGGAAUUCCGCGUGUAGCAGUGAAAUGCGUAGAUAUGCGGAGGAACACCGAUGGCGAAGGCAAUCCCCUGGGCCUGCACUGACGCUCAUGCACGAAAGCGUGGGGAGCAAACAGG